rnacentral:misc_RNA from 1 species
CGGGGAGUGAAGAAGUACCACUCUCUCUGUCCGAAAAGCGCCUUCUCUGGGAGCUCCCAUGGAUCGAAUUUGUAGAGGUCGACCUCGGCGAUGAUCGGGACGGGGAGGCGCUGGUAGGCGAUUUUGCGGCAGAGGUAGUGGACGACGAGCUCAUCAUCGGUGGGGUGGAAGCGGAAGCCAGGGGGGAGGUUGAGCUCGGCCUCGGCGUCGUGGUGGCUGCUUCCCAUUCUUGCUUGGUUGAUGGAUCUCUU